rnacentral:tRNA from 1 species
GGCUCAGUUGCUCAGCUGGCCAGAGCGUUGUCUGCACUAAAACCUUACCCUUGCAGGUGUGGGUUCGAAUCCCACCGAAACCG